AUUACGGAAAGUCAACAAGAGGGGUUACCAUGACAACCGUAGCGUCACAAUUUCCGUGAUAACCAUAUAUGAUACUUUCAUAAUGAAUUGCAGAUACUGUCAACUACAAAAUAUGUAAAAAUAAAAAAAAUUCAUAGAUUCAUUAAUUUUCAAUGACCCAUGCAAUCACUACCUUAAUAUUGAGAUGUUACUAGGUGUUUAGCGCAAAGAAAUUUCAUUCAAAAUAUAUAUUUUUAAAUGAAUCAUAAUCUACCGUACUUAACGGAAUUAUGAUUACCACUCGGGACACAGAGUUACGUACAUGCUUAGCUCGGUCCAACGGUUACACCGUAUACAUAUUAUCACAGCUACAUACGGAAAAAAAACAUAUAAAGCCCGAAUUUCUGAAAUAUCUGCAAGAUAAGAAAGUUGGAAAAAAAGUAUAAGGAGUUGGAGAGGGAUGUUACACGUUUAAAGAAGAAGAUGAAGGAUUCCAGUGAUGAUCAGGGCUCCUCAACCAGCAGUGAAUCGACCACGAUAAAUCCAGGACCCAAUUCAGAUGAACUUCUGAAAGGAGUGUCGCAUUUAUCAACAAGUGAUCUGGCGGUCGUCCUCAGGACAUUAGUACAUAAAGUUUUUACUACAGAAGAAGUUCUCGGCUGCUCCAGGACAGGCAAAAAAAACAGUAAAUUCUGGGGAAACCCCCAGACCAGCAUUAAAUAAAGAUAAGUUUGAGGCUCUUCAAACAGCAGUUAUGAAAAAAUGUCAAAUAAGUAUCGAUGUAUUUAAGAAAAAAUUUGAUAAUUUUUUAAAAAUGGAAAGGAGGAAGAAUCGAACCUAUCCAGCUGUUCUUAAUCAGUAAGCUUGUAUCCUUGAUAAGAUGCGUCUCGGUCUAGAUUUGUAUGACACUAAGUUAUCAGUACGUGUUAUAUUUGACUUCAAUACAGUUAAUAAAACUUUGACAAUUUUA